rnacentral:rRNA from 1 species
AGUGAACGCUGGCGGUAGGCCUAACACAUGCAAGUCGAACGGCAGCACAGUAAGAGCUUGCUCUUACGGGUGGCGAGUGGCGGACGGGUGAGGAAUACAUCGGAAUCUACUUUUUCGUGGGGGAUAACGUAGGGAAACUUACGCUAAUACCGCAUACGACCUACGGGUGAAAGCAGGGGAUCUUCGGACCUUGCGCGAUUGAAUGAGCCGAUGUCGGAUUAGCUAGUUGGCGGGGUAAAGGCCCACCAAGGCGACGAUCCGUAGCUGGUCUGAGAGGAUGAUCAGCCACACUGGAACUGAGACACGGUCCAGACUCCUACGGGAGGCAGCAGUGGGGAAUAUUGGACAAUGGGCGCAGGCCUGAUCCAGCCAUACCGCGUGGGUGAAGAAGGCCUUCGGGUUGUAAAGCCCUUUUGUUGGGAAAGAAAAGCAGCAGGUUAAUACCCCGCUGUUCUGACGGUACCCAAAGAAUAGGCACCGGCUAACUUCGUG